CUUCCCAGCAAACAAACCAGACACCAUAGCUGUGCCAAAAAGUCCCUCCCAUAGGUGUAAGGGAAGGGCAGGGCAGACUGAAGGGCACGGACAGAAGUUGCAAAAGUCUCAGUUUCAGGGGAUAUUAUCCUCACUGGACAGGGAGGAUUAGACAGUCUGCACUUCCAUGCUGACCGGCAAGCUCCAGCUACUGCUACUCCUGGCAACUCAUGGUUGAUUUGCCUUGGAUUUGAAGCAACUGUUGUCAAGAACUUAAACCUCAAGAGGUGAAUGGCAGGCCUCCCUAAGUUAUCUUCCCUUUUCCCAGCUGCCCUGUCUCUUCCUGCUUCUUUAAACCCAGCCAAGGAAUGAAUAUUAUUUUCUAAUGACUGAAAGAAGGCACAUAAGAGGCAGGUCUUCAGAUUAAGAAUCCAAGACUUGAUUGCAGCUCUUAUCAUACUUCUUUUCCAUUUUUUCCCUCUUCUUCCCACCAGAAAAUAAAUUGCUUCAAUAAAUUAUGUCUUUGAUCUGCAUAGGGGACCAGCAGCCUGGGCUCUCA
rnacentral:lncRNA from 1 species